rnacentral:misc_RNA from 1 species
GAUGAAGAACGUAGCAAAAUGCGAUAAGUAAUGUGAAUUGCAGAAUUCAGUGAAUCAUCGAAUCUUUGAACGCACAUUGCGCCCGCCAGUAUUCUGGCGGGCAUGCCUGUUCGAGCGUCAUUUCAACCAUCAAGCCCCAGGCUUGUGUUGGAGCCCUGCGGCUGCCGCAGCCUCCCAAAACCAGUGGCGGGCUCGCUAUCACACCGAGUGCAGUAGUUUACUCUUCGCUCAGGGCGUGUGGCGGGUGCUAGCCGUAAAACCCCCAACUUCUCAAGGUUGACCUCGGAUCAGGUAGGAAUACCCGCUGAACUUAAGCAUAUCAAUAAGCGGAGGA